rnacentral:misc_RNA from 1 species
UCUCCGUUGGUGAACCAGCGGAGGGAUCAUUACCGAGUUUACAACUCCCAAACCCCUGUGAACAUACCUAUCGUUGCCUCGGCGGUGCCCGCUCCGGCGGCCCGCCAGAGGACCCACAAACUCUUGUUUUAUACAGUAUCUUCUGAGUAACACGAUUAAAUAAAUCAAAACUUUCAACAACGGAUCUCUUGAUUCUG